UCCAUCUUGUUUGGAGAGAAACUGUCAGAAUGUUAUUAGGACACUGUAUUGUUUUUGUGCUCAUUUCAUAUUCUUAUGGACAGUCCCUGACCUCCUCUGCUUCUGUGGUGAGGAGACCUGGAGAGUCAGUCACUCUGUCCUGCACCGUGUCUGGACUCUCGCUUAGCUAUUUGCACUGGAUCCGUCAGAAACCAGGACAAGGACUGGAGUGGAUUGGAUACAUUGAUAGUGGCACUGGCACUACAUUCGCUCAGUCUCUGCAGGGCCAGUUCUCCAUCACUAAAGACACCAAUAAAAAAAUGGUGUAUCUGGAGGUGAAGACUCUGAAAGCUGAAGACACGGCUGUUUAUUACUGUGCCAAGGAAUCACACUGA